GUGUACGGUGUGGCGACGGGUCGCCACGCUAUACUGAGUAGAGUGUACGGUGUGGCUUCUCACUCAGUUCGACGUUGUUGUUUACUACGGUACACAUAACCUGCGUUUUAUUUAAUUUUGAUGUGAAACAUUUUUAUUUUAAUUUUUGACAAUAAAAUAUGUGUGAUAGUGAUAACUCAGAAGAUCAAAGUGAUCAACCUUGUGCAAAGAAAGUGAAACUACACUAUGGCAUACUACCAAGUCCUCAUUCCCAACAAUCAUCACAGGGAUCACAAAAUAUUAUUAUUGAAACUGGACGCCACCCUGAUCAGUUAAACACAAGGCAUAUUAUCAAUGUUGUGUAAGACUUUAUUAAUCGAAUAGUACCAGACUAUUUUAAUUUUUAUCUUAGAUCUGGCCGCUGGAGUGGCCAUUUACAAAAACAACAACACUUCACAUGUUACUACACUCAACAUGGAUCUAGCAGUUCAAAAUGCUACAGAAGUUCAUGUUUCCCAAACAUCUAUUGGUG